CCUACGGGGGGCUGCAGUAGGGAAUCUUCCACAAUGGGCGAAAGCCUGAUGGAGCAACGCCGCGUGGGUGAAGAAGGUCUUCGGAUCGUAAAACCCUGUUGUUAGAGAAGAAAGUGCGUGAGAGUAACGGUUCACGUUUCGACGGUAUCUAACCAGAAAGACACGGCUAACUACGUGCCAGCAGCAGCGGCAAUACGUAGGUGGCAAGCGUUAUCCGGAUUUAUUGGGUGUAAAGGGAGCGCAGGCGGUCUUUUAAGUCUGAUGUGAAAGUCUUCGGCUUAACCGGAGAAGUGCAUGGGAAACUGGGAGACUUGAGUGCAGAAGAGGUGGGUGGAACUCGAGGUGUAGCGGUGAAAUGCGUAGAUAUAUCGAAGAACACCGAUGGCGAAGGCGGCUCUCUGGUCUGUAACUGACGCUGAGGUUCGAAAGCGUGGGUAGCAAACAGGAUUAGAUACCCGAGUAGUC
rnacentral:rRNA from 1 species